rnacentral:rRNA from 1 species
AACGAACGCUGGCGGCAUGCCUAACACAUGCAAGUCGAACGAGAACUUCGGGUCGGGUGGCGCCCGGGUGCGUACCGCGUGGUAACCUGCCCUUAGGUUCGGAAUAACUCUCCGAAAGGGGUGCUAAUCCCGGGUAAUGUCUUCGGACCAAGGCUUUAUCGCCUUGGGCUGGGCCCGUGUUGGAUUAGCGAGUGGGUAGGGUACACGCCUACCAAGGCGACGGUCCAUAGCUGGGCUGAGAGGAUGAUCCGCUACGCUGGGGCUGAGACACGGCCCCGACUGCUACGGAGGGGAGCAGUAGGGUAUAUUGGAGAAGGGGGGAUAGCCUGACCAAGCAAUGUGGGGUGAGUGGUGAAGGCGUUAGUGUUGUUAAGUCCUUUGAGCCGGGAUGAUAAUGACAGUACCGGGAGAAGAAGCUCCGGCUAACUCCGUG